rnacentral:snRNA from 1 species
GUGCUUGCUUCAGCAGCACACAUGCUAAGAUGGGACAUUAUAGAGAGGAUUUGCAUGGCNCCUGCUCAAAGAUGAUGCAAAAAUUUGUGAAGCAUUCUGUUUCUUU